CAUGUACAUGUACAUAUCGAGUUCUCGUUGAGAACGAAAAUAACGGUUAGGUAUCUAUCCGAAAUGACGCAACAACCCGCAAAUUCGUUCGUCACGCUUCUAUCGAAAGGUGGGCUCUCCACGAGUCGAGGUCAAUUUGAGUCGAGCCUCCACGUACGCCGUCUUUUCAUUGGUUCUGCUCGCGUAAAGCAAUCAGAGAGUAUACAAUCUAGAUUUAUGAUCUUCAGUUCGUAUCAUUUUGUCCUAUGAUAUGCAUUCUACUGGCUUAUGACCUCUUAGAUCACUAUCUUUCAAAGUUGAAGGGAGGGGAUUGUAAAAUAAGACUAGAUUGGGCAGAGUUUUCUAUAUUACGAUCUUUGAGGUUAUAAAUCCUCGAGAAGAAUAUUAAAAGAGUCAAUUACUCUACGAAGGAUUAAACCCACGAAGGGAUUGCAUCAUUUAAAAAAUAAAAAUGUUCUUUCUCUUUAAGGGUGCCUUCUAAAAAGUUUGGGAACCACUGCGCUUGAACGUUAAAUAGGCAUUUAUGACGAACUGCAUCGAUAAACGUAAUUAUCCCCUUUCUUACGUAGAACGUUUCAUAUCUUGCUUUACGAUUUCUCCCUAUGAUGUGACGCAUGAAUUCGUCGGGUUUCACGACACCAAGCUGUACGGUGCCACACAGACGUGUUUCUCAGAAUGAAUACGUGCAGUUGGCCAGGAACGCUGUCCAUGCCGGCAUGCACGCGUUCACGCACGCAUACUUGUACCACCAGACACGAGAUCGGGUUGGUUUUUUUCCUUUCGCCUUCGGAUCCACACGUUCGGUCCAAUUCCCAUAGAAACAACUAUCCAGUUCAACUAAUACGCUUUCUUUAACAUUUUAAAGACUUCUUGAUAUUUAUUUCCAAUCUAAAGAAAACAUUCUUAUUGAAAUGUAAAAGUGAUUCUGGUAUGCGUUUUUACGAGACAUUUGUAUCGAUAGUCGUGUCGUUAUCUGUUACAAUAGGUCUAUUUUAAAUCUAUUUGUACAAAUAAUGGACGCUAUAAUAGAAUUUCUACCGUUGCAAAAAUGUAUGAAUUCUAGUUAUUCGCAUUGUUUUUAAAUCUGUCGACAAAUGAAGACGAAGUAUUUCUCUGAAAAUUCUAACAAUUUUAAUCUCUCGCGAACUAUGUCGUUGACAUGCGUUUCGUUGCGAAUCCUUCUCCGGUGUUGCGUUAGAGAUGCCAGAAAAAAUGAUUCAGCGAUGUUUCGCGUCGGAAAAUAUCGAAUUGCGUUAAUUUUGAUCGAGGAAAUAUGUAACUCCUUCGCGGAAAGAUAAACGCUGAAAACGUAAAGCAUGCGACACGGUUUCUCUUCUUCGUAACGCGAUUAAUAAAAAAAAAUGACGAUUAAAUUGACCGAGAAACGUCAGUGGCGCCGAUAAUCUGGCAUAACGCGAAGGACACUCCGGUCAAAUGGGGGCUCGUCAGGUUCCACCAAUCGGGUGACGGCAUUUUACAGUGCCUUUCUAUCCGAGUGAUAUACAUAUGUGUACGUACGGGAUUGCAUAGUACUAGCGCCACUCGUGAUUAGAAGGCAAGGUAUUAUCAACUCGAUUCUGUGUACACGAGUCGGUACCGGUUUUCAUGUUUCUUCUUUAGAAUUCUUAGCAUACGUCGAUGGAACGUUUCUUGCGUCAUUUUGUAGAACGCAAAAUUGUUGAGACGUGCUUCGACGUAAACACGUGUAUAUGAAGCUAAUAAACAUUGAUGCACGAUCUCUUCUAUACUUGGAUUUUUCCGCUGAAUUAUCGAUGAAACCGGCAAUCCGACUUAACCUCGAAAAAGGUAUUAUCGAUCAGUUUCAAUUUGAAAUGAAAACCUCGUGUUUUUUUUUUUUUUUUUUUUGUAUUACGUUUAACGUGUAUUUUUACAAAUGAAUUAUUUACAGAAUAAUCGCGAACUUUUCGGGAGUAAAUUUCUGAUCCAUUCUCUCAUUAAAAAGGUGAUAAUCGAAAACGAUUCUUUCCUCGCACGCUCCUUCGUGUAAUUUACUAACUUUCUUAAAAGGUAUCUGUUUACAAAUGGCAGAUAUGUGUAUGUACCUACGCGAGUUACGUUGUCCUGCAUCAUUUACUCUUGAGUACAUAGCUUGUAUCUAUGCAACGAUAAUCGGCAAUAUCUACACUUUGUAAAUAUUCUACUGUUAUUUAUACCUUAAAUAACCGCGACCGUAAAUCGUUUGUCUGAUCCAUGGCCUUUGUAUCAUGUCUCGAUCUCUUAUCUGAUCAAUAUUAAUGGCAUUCGGUAGUAUUACGAUUCGUCUCGAAACAUCUUCGCAGUGAAUGACUUAUUACUCGAAACUCUUCGCUAGUGUAACGUGAAACGUUAACAAAUGAAUAUAUUUUCUUAACAGCACUAUACCUCUAGCGUGUCUUUAAACUAACGGUACUUCUUUGUUCGAUAAUGAUAUUAAGAAUAUUGAAAUUAACGCUGAAUUUGAAGUUCGAUGUUCGAGUAAUGAUUCGAACGCUCAUACGCUUGCGAUAGUUCAU